GCUUCGGUAGCUCGGUUGGUUAAGAGAGUUCGGACCGGGGUUUCGAAUGGUCGCAAGUUCGAGUCUUGCCCGAAGCG